AUUGAACGCUGGCGGCAUGCUUUACACAUGCAAGUCGGACGAGUGGCGAACGGGUGAGUAAUAUAUCGGAACGUACCGAGUAAUGGGGGAUAACUAAUCGAAAGAUUAGCUAAUACCGCAUACUAUUCGAGCGGCCGAUAUCUGAUUAGCUGGUUGGUGGGGUAAAGGCCUACCAAGGCGACGAUCAGUAGCGGGGCUGAGAGGAUGAUCCGCCAAACGGUGCCUUGGAAACGGCCCAGACUCCUACGGGAGGCAGCGGGGGGGAAGUUUGGACAAUGGGCGCAAGCCUGAUCAGGCCAGGCCGCGGGUCUGAAGAAGGCCUUCGGGUUGUAAAGGACUUUUGUCAGGGAAGCGGUACCUGAAGAAUAAGCACCGGCUAACUACGUGCCAGCCGCCGCGGUAAUAC
rnacentral:rRNA from 1 species